GACGAACGCUGGCGGCGUGCUAAACACAUGCAAGUCGAACGGAAAGGCCCUGCUUGCAGGGUACUCGAGUGGCGAACGGGUGAGUAACACGUGGGUGAUCUGCCCUGCACUUCGGGAUAAGCCUGGGAAACUGGGUCUAAUACCGGAUAGGAGCCAUUUUUAGUGUGAUGGUUGGAAAGUUUUUUUCGGUGUAGGAUGAGCUCGCGGCCUAUCAGCUUGUUGGUGGGGUAAUGGCCUACCAAGGCGGCGACGGGUAGCCGGCCUGAGAGGGUGGACGGCCACAUUGGGACUGAGAUACGGCCCAGACUCCUACGGGAGGCAGCAGUGGGGAAUAUUGCACAAUGGGCGCAAGCCUGAUGCAGCGACGCCGCGUGGGGGAUGACGGCCUUCGGGUUGUAAACUCCUUUCGCUAGGGACGAAGCUUUUUGUGACGGUACCUAGAUAAGAAGCACCGGCUAACUACGUG
rnacentral:rRNA from 1 species